GGGUUGUGAGGUUAAGCGAACAAGCGUACACGGUGGAUGCCCUGGCAGUCAGAGGCGAUGAAGGACGUGCUAAUCUGCGAAAAGCGCCGGUAAGGUGAUAUGAACCGUUAUAACCGGCGAUGUCCGAAUGGGGAAACCCGGUGCACUUCGGUGCAUCAUCGUUAGCUGAAUACAUAGGCUAACGAAGCGAACCGGGGGAACUGAAACAUCUAAGUACCCCGAGGAAAAGAAAUCAACCGAGAUUCCCCCAGUAGCGGCGAGCGAACGGGGAACAGCCCAGAGCCUGAAUCAGCUUGUGUGUCAGUGGAACGGUCUGGAAAGGCCGGCGAUACAGGGUGACAGCCCCGUACACGAAGGCACACAGGCUGUGAGCUCGAUGAGUAGGGCGGGACACGUGAUAUCCUGUCUGAAGAUGGGGGGACCAUCCUCCAAGGCUAAAUACUCCUGACUGACCGAUAGUGAACCAGUACCGUGAGGGAAAGGCGAAAAGAACCCCGGCGAGGGGAGUGAAACAGAACCUGAAACCGUGUACGUACAAGCAGUGGGAGCCUUCGUAAGAGGGUGACUGCGUACCUUUUGUAUAAUGGGUCAGCGACUUAUAUUCUGUAGCAAGGUUAACCGUAUAGGGGAGCCGAAGGGAAACCGAGUCUUAAUUGGGCGUUAAGUUGCAGGGUAUAGACCCGAAACCCGGUGAUCUAGCCAUGGGCAGGUUGAAGGUUGGGUAACACUAACUGGAGGACCGAACCGACUAAUGUUGAAAAAUUAGCGGAUGACCUGUGGCUGGGGGUGAAAGGCCAAUCAAACCGGGAGAUAGCUGGUUCUCCCCGAAAGCUAUUUAGGUAGCGCCUCGUGAACUCAUCUCCGGGGGUAGAGCACUGUUUCGGCUAGGGGGCCAUCCCGGCUUACCAACCCGAUGCAAACUGCGAAUACCGGAGAAUGUUAUCACGGGAGACACACGGCGGGUGCUAACGUCCGUCGUGAAGAGGGAAACAACCCAGACCGCCAGCUAAGGUCCCAAAGUCAUGGUUAAGUGGGAAACGAUGUGGGAAGGCCCAGACAGCCAGGAUGUUGGCUUAGAAGCAGCCAUCAUUUAAAGAAAGCGUAAUAGCUCACUGGUCGAGUCGGCCUGCGCGGAAGAUGUAACGGGGCUAAACCAUGCACCGAAGCUGCGGCAGCGACACUGUGUGUUGUUGGGUAGGGGAGCGUUCUGUAAGCCUGCGAAGGUGUGCUGUGAGGCAUGCUGGAGGUAUCAGAAGUGCGAAUGCUGACAUAAGUAACGAUAAAGCGGGUGAAAAGCCCGCUCGCCGGAAGACCAAGGGUUCCUGUCCAACGUUAAUCGGGGCAGGGUGAGUCGACCCCUAAGGCGAGGCCGAAAGGCGUAGUCGAUGGGAAACAGGUUAAUAUUCCUGUACUUGGUGUUACUGCGAAGGGGGGACGGAGAAGGCUAUGUCGGCCGGGCGACGGUUGUCCCGGUUUAAGCGUGUAGGCUGACUUUCCAGGCAAAUCCGGAAGGUUAAGGCUGAGGCGUGAUGACGAGGCACCACGGUGCUGAAGUGACAAAUGCCCUGCUUCCAGGAAAAGCCUCUAAGCAUCAGGUAACAUCAAAUCGUACCCCAAACCGACACAGGUGGUCAGGUAGAGAAUACCAAGGCGCUUGAGAGAACUCGGGUGAAGGAACUAGGCAAAAUGGUGCCGUAACUUCGGGAGAAGGCACGCUGACAUGUAGGUGAAGCCCCUGCGGGUGGAGCUGAAGUCAGUCGAAGAUACCAGCUGGCUGCAACUGUUUAUUAAAAACACAGCACUGUGCAAACACGAAAGUGGACGUAUACGGUGUGACGCCUGCCCGGUGCCGGAAGGUUAAUUGAUGGGGUUAUCGCAAGAGAAGCUCCUGAUCGAAGCCCCGGUAAACGGCGGCCGUAACUAUAACGGUCCUAAGGUAGCGAAAUUCCUUGUCGGGUAAGUUCCGACCUGCACGAAUGGCGUAAUGAUGGCCAGGCUGUCUCCACCCGAGACUCAGUGAAAUUGAACUCGCUGUGAAGAUGCAGUGUACCCGCGGCAAGACGGAAAGACCCCGUGAACCUUUACUACAGCUUGACACUGAACAUUGAGCCUUGAUGUGUAGGAUAGGUGGGAGGCUUUGAAGCGUGGACGCCAGUCUGCGUGGAGCCGACCUUGAAAUACCACCCUUUAAUGUUUGAUGUUCUAACCUGGCGCCGUGAUCCGGCGUGGGGACAGUGUCUGGUGGGUAGUUUGACUGGGGCGGUCUCCUCCCAAAGUGUAACGGAGGAGCACGAAGGUCAGCUAAUCCUGGUCGGACAUCAGGAGGUUAGUGCAAUGGCAUAAGCUGGCUUGACUGCGAGAGUGACGGCUCGAGCAGGUGCGAAAGCAGGUCAUAGUGAUCCGGUGGUUCUGUAUGGAAGGGCCAUCGCUCAACGGAUAAAAGGUACUCCGGGGAUAACAGGCUGAUACCGCCCAAGAGUUCAUAUCGACGGCGGUGUUUGGCACCUCGAUGUCGGCUCAUCACAUCCUGGGGCUGAAGUAGGUCCCAAGGGUAUGGCUGUUCGCCAUUUAAAGUGGUACGCGAGCUGGGUUUAGAACGUCGUGAGACAGUUCGGUCCCUAUCUGCCGUGGGCGCUGGAGAAUUGAGGGGGGCUGCUCCCAGUACGAGAGGACCGGAGUGGACGCAUCACUGGUGUUCGGGUUGUCAUGCCAAUGGCACUGCCCGGUAGCUAAAUGCGGAAGAGAUAAGUGCUGAAAGCAUCUAAGCACGAAACUUGCCCCGAGAUGAGUUCUCCCUGAGACUGUAAGUCUCCUGAAGGAACGUUGAAGACGACGACGUUGAUAGGCCGGGUGUGUAAGCGCAGCGAUGCGUUGAGCUAACCGGUACUAAUGAACCGUGAGGCUUAACCUUACAACGCCAAAGAAGU
rnacentral:rRNA from 1 species